GACGUAGGGCGCGAGCGUUGUCCGGAUUUAUUGGGCGUAAAGAGCUCGUAGGCGGCUUGUCGCGUCGUCUGUGAAAUCCCGCGGCUCAACUGCGGGCUGGCAGUCGAUACGGGCAGGCUGGAGUUCGGUAGGGGAGACUGGAAUUCCUGGUGUAGCGGUGAAAUGCGCAGAUAUCGGAAGGAACAUCAGUGGCGAAAGCGGCUUCCUGGACCAGUACCGACGUUCAGGCACGAAAGCGUGGGGAGCAAACAGG
rnacentral:rRNA from 1 species